rnacentral:rRNA from 1 species
GGAUUAGAUACCCUGGUAGUCCAUGCCGUAAACGUUGGGCACUAGAUGUGGGGGACAUUCCACGUUUUCCGCGUCGUAGCUAACGCAUUAAGUGCCCCGCCUGGGGAGUACGGCCGCAAGGCUAAAACUCAAAGGAAUUGACGGGGGCCCGCACAAGCGGCGGAGCAUGCUGAUUAAUUCGAUGCAACGCGAAGAACCUUACCAAGGCUUGACAUGGACCGGACGGCUGCAGAAAUGUGGCUUUCUUCGGACUGGUUCACAGGUGGUGCAUGGUUGUCGUCCAGCUCGUGCCG